rnacentral:rRNA from 1 species
CUACGGAGGGGACUAGCGUUGUUCGGAAUUACUGGGCGUAAAGAGUACGUAGGCGGUCUAUCAAGUUGGGUGUGAAAGCCCGGGGCUCAACCCCGGAACUGCACUCAAAACUGAUAAACUAGAGAUCGCAAGAGGUAAGUGGAAUUCCCAGUGUAGAGGUGAAAUUCGUAGAUAUUGGGAAGAACACCAGUGGCGAAGGCGGCUUACUGGUCCGAGACUGACGCUGAGGUACGAAAGCGUGGGGAGCAAACAGUAUUAGAAACCCCAGUAGUCC